CAGAAGCCCUUUUAGUAUUUCUUUUAGAAUCCAGUUCGUAUUACUGUAUUCUUUUAGCUUUUGCUUGUUGGAGAAAUUAUUUUUUUCCCUUCUAUUUUAAAUGAUAUUCUUGCAGGAUAGAGUAUUCUAGGUUGCAUAUUUUUUUCCUUUCAGUGCUUUAAAUAUAUCUUGCUGUUCCCUCCUGUCCUAUAGAGUUUCUGUAGAGAAAUUAGCUGAUAGCCUUAUGGUGGUUCCCUUAUAAUUGACACUUUGCUUUUCUCUUGCUGCCGUUAGAAUCCUCUCUUUAUCAUUAACUUCUGCCAUUUUUUUUUAUAAUAUGUCUUGCCAUGGGCCGUUUGGGUUCAACUUGUUUGGGGCCAUCUGUGCUUCCUGUAUCUUGAUAUCAGUAUCCUUUAUAUUUUGAAAGUUUUCAGCCAUCAUUUCUUCAAAUAUAUUUUUCAAUCCCAUUUUCUUUUUCUCUUCCUUCUCCAAUUCCUAUUAUGUAUAGAUUGGCCUGCUUUAUAUUAUCUUUUAUGUCUCUUAUAUUGCUUUCAUGUUUUUUCAUUUGGUUUUCUGUCUGAUGUCCUGUUUGGGUGAUUUCCAUUAUUCUAUCUUCCACAUCACUAAUUCAUUCCUCUGCAUUAUUCAUUCUGGUCUUUAUUGCCUUUAGCUCCAUUUGUAUCUCUGCAAAUGAAUUUUCCAGUUUUUCUUGGUUCCUCCUUAUAUUUUCUAGUUACUUUCUGAGGGAAUCUGCGUUACUGUACGUAUCUUCUCUUAAUUCCUUCAGUAUUUUCACUAUCUCCCUUUUGAACUCAAAGUCUGUCAGACUACAGAGGUCUGUUUCAUUGUUAAUAUCUUUAGGUGAAUUAUCUUGCUGCUUUAACUGGAAUGGUUUCUGGGCUUCUUCAUCUUGCUUGUGUCUUUUUCUGUGAAUUUGGGGAAGCCAAACUGUACUUUGGCAGUCUGGGGUGCACUGUGUGGCAGGGUGCUUCCCUGGCUGUGCUGUGGUGGCUUGGUGCUUCCUGUAGAUGGGCAGGGCUGGCCGAGUCAUGCUGUGGUCGUGGUGCACUUCUCAUGGGAAGAUGGGUCUGGCCAGAGUGUGCCAUGGCAGUGGGGCAUUCCCCAGGGUGGGCAGGGCUGGCCUGGCUGCGCCGCAGUGGUGGUCAGCUUCUCAGUGGGUGGUGGGACCAGUGUGCCAUGGAUGGCCACAGGGGUGGGUGGGAUGUACUGAGAACACUCUGCUCUCUAUUAGCUGGGAGGCAAGCAUGCAUGCUGGGGCACAAGGAGUUUUCUAUGAUGGCCUGCCCCUUCUCCUCUCCCCUCCCCAACAAUGGCCCCUUGACUCUCCUGUGGGCCCAGACCUUCUCCCGGGUUCCCUCUGUCGUGACUUUCCACUCCCCAACCCUUAGCAUAUAACUCCUUCCACCCUCAGANGGAGCCCUGCUCCCUAGUCCCUUAGGCUGUCUCCGCACCGCCAACCCCAGCCCGCUCCCAAGGACUGACCUCUGGACCCUAGUCUUGGUGCCCAGCCCCCUUCCAACCAUCUCAGUCUUUGGUGUCUGUGCCAAUGGUUCAGAUGAUCUGUGGGUCUCUCACUCGCUUUUCAGUUCUCAGUCCUGCUGAUAUGCUUUUCUUAGUGUCUUGGAGAUCCCUCUGACUCGGCUGAUCUUUCCAUCCGUUAGGUGGCUUCCCAGAGUGUAGGUUCCUUUUCUCCUUCACAGCUCCCUCUCAAGAAUGCCAGUCCCGUCCUGAUUCCCCUUUUCUCUCUCACCUCUUUUCUGUCAUUUUACCCAGUUAUGUCAAGAGAUUCUUGCUGUUUUUGGAGGUUCAAGAUCUUCUGCCAGCAAUCUGUAGAUGCUCUGUAUGAGUCAUUUUAUGUGUAAAUGUGGUUUUUUGUUGUGUUUGUGGCAGAGGGCAAACACGUCCCCCUACUCUUCUGCCAUCUUGCCUCAAUAAAACUAUUUCUUGUUCUGCUGAUAUCCUUUAAGAAUAUUGAUUUUGGCUCUUUGGCUAACUCCUCUCCAUCCUUUCAAACUAAAGACUGUGUUCUUUAAAAGGCUAAGUAGGAAGUUCCUGUUGUGGCUCAGGGGGUUAAGGACACAACCAUAUCUAUGUGAGGAAAUGGGUUUCAUUCCUUGCCUCACUCAGUGGGUUAAGGAUCUGACAUUGCCACAAGCUGCAGUGUAAGUUGCAGAUUCACCUCAGAUCCCACAUUGCUGUGCCUGUACUGCAGUAUGCAGCUGCAGCUGCAAUUCAACCGCUGGCCUGGAAACUUGCAUAUGCCAUAGGUGCAACCGUAAAAAGAAGAAGAAAAAAAAAAAGGGCUAAAUGUAUAGGCAUUAUUGCAUUGCUUCUUUAAUCACUCUUUAGGAAGUUCAAGACUCUAAUUUCCUCUAUAAGUGAUGUUGGUGACAUUACUAUCUCACAGUUUGGCACUUUAUUUCUUGCUGGCCACAGAAUAGCACCACUUGGAUACUAUGCUAUCUAAUCAUUUUUUUACACAAAAUUUCACCUAGUUAAGUCACCUGCAACAUCACCUAAUAGUUAAUUGUAGUUUUCACAGUUCUAUGUACUGUAUAAAACAGUAUUUGAAGAACAAUGAACUUCUGAUCAAGUUAGUUAUUCAAGUUUAAGCCUAGAUAGUGAAGGUCCACCAGACAGCAAUAUUAGACAAAUAUUCAAGAGAACAUAUAAUGCUAUAACUCAGUAAAGACAUUUGAGUAGUUUCCCGGUUUGGACAGUUACUAAGGAAGCUACUAGAAACAUUCCUGGGAAAAUCUUUUUAUGAACUUGCAUUUACUUCCCUUCGGUAUAUUCCCAGCAAUGUAAAUUGUUAGGUCAUAUGAUAGGAGUAUGUUUAACAGUAUUAGCAACUGCCAAACAAUUUUGCAAAGCGGUUGUACCAAAUACAUUACCUCCAUCAACGUAUAACAGUUCUAUUUGCUCCUCAUCCUUGUUGACAUUUAGUAUUGUUUAUCUUUCUAAUAUGACUCAUUCUUUAGUGGUAUGCCAUUGUGGUUUUAAUUUACCUGAUAACAACAUUAAGUAUCUUUUCCAAUACUUCUUGCCUAUUUGCAAAAAUGUCUGAGCAAGACAUUAGUCCUUGAGUUGUCAUUUUAUUAAGACACAGGAAUAAUAUAUAUAUUCUAUAUACAAGUUCUUUGUCAUAUGCAUUUAUUCCCAGUCUAUGGAUGUUCUUUUUACUUUUUGCCUUUGGAUGAGAAAAGUUUUUAAUUUUGAUGAAAUUCAAUUUAAAUUGGUUUUUGUUAUUGUCAGAGCUUAUUGUUCCUGAUUUAAGAAGUCCUUGUCUUCCCUAAAUCAUAAAGAUGUUUUAUGGUUUGUUUGAGAAGUUUUACGAUUUUAGCAUUUAUAGUUAUGUUUAUCAUCCACCUUGAAUUAAUUUUCAUUUACAUUUAAGAUGAAUGUCAAGGUUCAUUUUUUCCCACAUAAAUAUCCAGCCUGCAAUACCAUUUUAUUUAAAGUUCUUUCAUUUAAUUAUUCUGCUGCCUUUGUCAAAAGUCAAAUAUAUGUUUGGGACUAUUUUGGAACUCUCAAUUCUGUUUCAUUGAUGCAUUUCUCUGUUAUAUUGCCUCUACCAUACUGUUUAACUAUUGCCACUUUAUAAUAUCUUGAGUCUGGCAUCUUCUCCAACUUUGCUCUCUUUCUUCAAGACUCUCUGGUUAUUCUAAGUAUUCUGCAUUUUCACAUAAAUUUUAGAAACAUCUUUAACAAAGAGUAGCUGGAUUUUGAUUGGGAUGCAUUGAACCUAUAGAUUGAUGUGGGGAAACUGGAGUUUUCAAAUCCAGGAACAUUGUAUAUUUCACCAUUUAUUUAAGUCUUCCUUAAUUUCUCUUAGCAAAUUUUUGUAGUUUUGAGUAUUAGACAACUUGAACAUCUCUUAGAAUUUUUCAUGGGUAUUUGUAUUUAAGGACAUCCUAGGUCAUUUCCAGAUAUUCUUUGAUUUCAAUGCUGAUGAUGAGUUUUUAAACAUAAUUUAUUUUUUGCUCUUUAUUUCACUUUCCUAUGAUUUGCUGCUAACGUACAGACUUGUCCAUGGGGACACAAUAAAUGGUAACUAAAAAUUUAGGGAUAUUGGUUGAAUACUAAUGCUAUUUCUCAUUUUCAAAUGCCUCCCAUCCUCUGGGUUGUUAAUAUAUUUGCAGUCAUCAUCCUAGCCAGAUUACAUGGAACUUUUAUAAUCACUUUUGACUUUCAAAAUUGCCAAAUAAACAGAGAAAUUACAGCAGAUGUUUCUUCUUUUUAAAUUGAUAUGAAUUGGCUUUCCCAGCUAUACUCUCUUAUCAAAUUCUUUUUUCCAGAAUAUAUUAGUGAAAAUAUUUACAGAGAGCUUUAAGGUGAUUUGUUCUUUUUGACAUUUCGAGUAUAUAAAACAAAGCCAGAUAAUCUUUAAAAACCAUUCCUGAUAUUCUCUGUAGCCCCAGGGAACUAGCAUCACAUAUAUGACAUAAGC
rnacentral:lncRNA from 1 species